rnacentral:rRNA from 1 species
GACAGAGGGUGCAAACGUUGCUCGGAAUCACUGGGCGUAAAGGGCGUGUAGGCGGGAAGGAAAGUCAGAUGUGAAAGCCCUGGGCUCGACCCAGGAACUGCAUUUGAAACUCCCUUUCUUGAGUGUCGGAGAGGAAAGCGGAAUUCCUGGUGUAGAGGUGAAAUUCGUAGAUAUUCGGAAGAACACCAGUGGCGAAGGCGGCUCACUGGCCCGGUACUGACGCUGAGGUGCGAAAGCGUGGGGAGCAAACAGGG